UACGUAGGUGGCAAGCGUUGUCCGGAUUUACUGGGCGUAAAGGGCGUGCAGGCGGUCUGUUAAGUCUAGGGUGAAAGCUCCCGGCUCAACUGGGAGAGGUCCUUGGAUACUGGCGGACUUGAGGGAGGCAGAGGAAAGUGGAAUUCCUGGUGUAGCGGUGAAAUGCGCAGAUAUCAGGAGGAACACCAAUUGCGAAGGCAGCUCGCUGGGACGUUACUGACGCUGAGACGCGAAAGCGUGGGGAGCAAACAGG
rnacentral:rRNA from 1 species